AUUGAACGCUGGCGGCAGGCCUAACACAUGCGAGUCGAGCGGAUGAAGGGAGCUUGCUCCUGGAUUCAGCGGCGGACGGGUGAGUAAUGCCUAGGAAUCUGCCUGGUAGUGGGGGAUAACGUCCGGAAACGGGCGCUAAUACCGCAUACGUCCUGAGGGAGAAAGUGGGGGAUCUUCGGACCUCACGCUAUCAGAUGAGCCUAGGUCGGAUUAGCUAGUUGGUGGGGUAAAGGCCUACCAAGGCGACGAUCCGUAACUGGUCUGAGAGGAUGAUCAGUCACACUGGAACUGAGACACGGUUCAGACUCCUACGGGAGGCAGCAGUGGGGAAUAUUGGACAAUGGGCGAAAGCCUGAUCCAGCCAUGCCGCGUGUGUGAAGAAGGUCUUCGGAUUGUAAAGCACUUUAAGUUGGGAGGAAGGGCAGUAAGUUAAUACCUUGCUGUUUUGACGUUACCAACAGAAUAAGCACCGGCUAACUUCGUG
rnacentral:rRNA from 1 species